rnacentral:lncRNA from 1 species
AGUUGGCUUCUUCCCUGGAUAGUAGGAAUGGUAGGGUCCCAAUUCUGGUAUUCGUGCUCGCACAACAAGCAAGUUAUCCAGUGAGUCACCUUCCCAGCCCAGGCAAUCAUGUUACAGAAGAAACCAAGGUCACCAUUAGGAACAAGCACCGAGGUUUGCUUACACCUCUCCUCUAUCUCUUUCUACCAGACUAGAUAAGGCUAGCUGACUUUUGACAAAAUAGUAGCUCUUUGUUUCUCUGCCCUUGGCACACUUAUUUUCCUAAAUCAACCCCAUCCCUAGGAUAACCGCUUAUGUUUAGAAAUAUACUAAUGUACUUGGAUAAGGUAUGGACCUGGGAAGAACGGGUGAGAAUCAUAUAUUCACUUAACUGGGACUCACCGCCCUGGGCACAGUGCUGAGAACACGCCAGUGAACGCCAGAAGUCCUCCACAGAACAAUAAUAGUAAGGUGACGACUAAAUAGGCACACGGUGCCAGGCCGCGCUAAGUGUUGUGAGGCCAAAGGGGAGGCUGGGGCUUUUGAGGAGUAAGUGGGGGGUGGAGGAGAAAGUGGGGGUGGAGGAGAAAGUGGGGGUGGAGGACCCUCUCUGUGGAAAUGAAGAGGGAGGAAGCUAACCCUGAGAAUCUCUGAGUUUCCUUUCUCAGCCCCCUAAAGUGUGAUCAUCAAAUAACUGAAUAUUCUACCUAGCUGAAACAAAAGGAUGCCAGCUGGGGGGGAUUGCUUCCAUCUGCAUAAGUUCACUGUUGACAAUAGCAGUGCCUUUCAGACCAGACGGAAAGGUCCGUCUCAUUCAGAUUGAAAGUUAGUAGGAAGUUUCUAACUGUCUCCAAACUGCUUCUUGGGCAGGAACACAAUAGAGAAGUUGACAGUACCUGCUGGAAAAGUAGCAAACAGUAUUUACAAGUAGCUACCUUGUAACACACCCACAGCUGGCUACAUUUAAUACAGAUAAACCUCACCACAGGAUGGAUGGAGUGGGGAUAUUUGCGCCUCUCCACAUUCAGUGUGGAGCUAACUCUCCUUUAAGAGUUCUUGUUAAAAAGGGGUCAGCCUGGCAGCAUAUAAUCUGCAUUUUACUAACAUGCCGGUUUAGAGGGUGAUGUAAAAGUCUGUUGGCUGGUUGUACAUUUGUUCUAAGGAUGCCUGUAGCCCAUGUAUUCUCUGAGAAAGUCAAACAGAAUGAAAUAGGAAAUGGGGAAAUUGAGACUGAUAUAGUGGUUUGCUCUGAUAACCCCAGCACUUGGGAGGUCAGGCUAGGAUAAACAGCAAAUCUGAGGGCAGUGUGGCCUACGCUGUAUGAAAAACCCUUGUCCAAAAAUAAAAUUGUAAAAUUUGACCAAAGUCACGAGUUAAAGAGCAGUCUGACUCGGACACAACUCUCACUGGUGAAUCUCACAGAUCAACGGGGAAAUGGGCUCAUUAGAGGUUUUCCCACAAACUCCGGUGUUCUCAGGACAGAGGGACUUCUUGUUCUCUGGGAAGCAUUUGGGAAACUUGAAUCCACUUGAAUUGCAAAUAAUGGUUUGUGAUGUCUGUAGUGUUUCCCAACUACUCUAACAGAGCCAGGACCCUUUGGUCUCUGUCACUUUAAAAUAAAAAAAACUAGCAACG